AGUGAACGCUGGCGGUAGGCCUAACACAUGCAAGUCGAACGGCAGCACAGGAGAGCUUGCUCUCUGGGUGGCGAGUGGCGGACGGGUGAGGAAUACAUCGGAAUCUACCUUUUCGUGGGGGAUAACGUAGGGAAACUUACGCUAAUACCGCAUACGACCUUCGGGUGAAAGCAGGGGACCUUCGGGCCUUGCGCGGAUAGAUGAGCCGAUGUCGGAUUAGCUAGUUGGCGGGGUAAAGGCCCACCAAGGCGACGAUCCGUAGCUGGACUGAGAGGGUGAUCAGCCACGCUGGAACUGAGACACGGUCCAGACUCCUACGGGAGGCAGCAGUGGGGAAUAUUGGACAAUGGGCGCAAGCCUGAUCCAGCCAUACCGCGUGGGUGAAGAAGGCCUUCGGGUUGUAAAGCCCUUUUGUUGGGAAAGAAAAGCAGCCAGUUAAUACCUGGUUGUUCUGACGGUACCCAAAGAAUAAGCACCGGCUAACUUCGUGCCAGCAGCCGCAGUAAAAC
rnacentral:rRNA from 1 species